GGAUAUUUUCGCUUGCCUAUUUUUCCUGCUUACCACACAUGAAAUUCAAGAACUGACUGUUCACUUGCUUCUUAAUAUGCCUUGACAGGUGUGAUUGUAAUGAUAUAAUCAAUAUUAUUCACUUCACCUGUCAGUGGUUUUAAUGUUGUGGCUGAUCAGUUUAGCUUGCUUUUGAAUAUGAAACAAUUAUUACAGAGAAUUAAAUCUAGCAUUUCUAAAACAACGAUAUAUCUGCAUCAAAUCUGCUUUUUGAAGUUCAAUGGAUCUAUUUAUGUGAAAUUUAAGAAUACUGGAUUCAAUGACAUAUCAUCAUCAAGAUCCCUAAGUACAGUAUUUGUAUCAAAUAAAUAAGAUGGAG